UACGGGGGGGGCAAGCGUUGUUCGGAAUUACUGGGCGUAAAGGGCUCGUAGGCGGCCAACUAAGUCGGAUGUGAAAUCCCCAGGCUUAACCUGGGAACUGCAUCCGAUACUGGAUGGCUUGAAUUCGGGAGAGGGAUGCAGAAUUCCAGGUGUAGCGGUGAAAUGCGUAGAUAUCUGGAGGAAUACCGGUGGCGAAGGCGGCAUCCUGGACCGACAUUGACGCUGAGGAGCGAAAGCCAGGGGAGCAAACGGG
rnacentral:rRNA from 1 species